GUCACUCUGCAUGUAGCUUCACUGCCCGAGACCAGUAGGAUGUUUUCAGUUGGUUAUUCCUGGUUGCUCUCUACCCCAGCUUAAAUUAACUGUAUAUCAUUUUUUUAACGAUAAUUGCUUUAGAUAACAGCAUCUGCUCAAUUACUACAUUGAAGAAACAACUUUUCACACAGAAAACAAGAUCAGAAUGUACCUACGGUUCUAUGGAUCCUGUGCAAAAAAUUAAUGGCUAUUGCCUAUUGAAAAAAAUGAAUGAUAUCCAGUGCCUUAAGCAUCCCUUCUCUCCACCUCGGGCAUGCGCAUUUCAAGUACCUAAUACCAACAUAGUCACCUGUGACUCCGGGAUGGUUAUAUCUUCCGGUGUCGUCAGAGGAUCUGUCCCUAGAAUCUUCUUGCGAAAACACAAGGAUUCUGAGUGACUAAACACUCUGGCGGUCAUCCAGGAUUCAUAGAACCGUAGUUACAUUUGUAACUCUCGUUCUAUUUCAUCCCUACUGACCGGUGCUUAAAGCACUGGAUGACCCAUACCAAAAAGGUCACAAAGAAUCCAACACCCACCUCACUCAUUAGAGGCAGCAGACUUUGGAAGUAGGACCACACCCAUCGGAUGGGGAGUGGCGACGUUGAUACGGUAAAACCUUGUGAAUGUGCCAGGCGACGUCCAUGAUGCCGCGGCACAGAUCGACACCAGGGGUACACCUCUUAUGGUACGGCCACACCAACCGCGUUGCUCGCGUUAGGGGCGUUGAAAAUCGUCAUUUUUGCAUAGGGAACCAUUGGUCUAGGCGCGGUACACGCGUUGAAAAUCGGCAUUUUUGCAUAGGGAACCAUUGGUCUAGGCGCGGUACAAGCGUUGAAGCGUUGAAGCGUUGAAGCGUUGCGUUGGGGGCGACGCGGCAGUUGCACGUAAUUACGCACGUAAACGCAGUAACGCGCCCAACGCACCAACACCCGGAGUUCAGAAAAUUGAACUUUCAACGCUCCAACGCGUGACGCUUAGCCGCGGUAGCCAAUCAGCGUGGAGCUUGACCCGACGUCACUGGCAGAGAGUAGUGAGCUUGCACUGAAGCAUACGGCCGACAUCUUUCUUUAUUCUGGGUGGAAAUAGUAACAUAGUUACGCCAUUAAAUGCGUUUAUGGAAACAUGUCUAGCGAGAAAUGUGCAUUUUACUUUCAUAAUGUUCGCUCGGUGAAUGUGAAGGAUGUUUGGUUUGAUAGUUAUGACGAAGAGGGAACGCUCCGUUCAUUUGCAUGGACAGAGUCUCUGGUUGCUAAGCAACCUCAACGUCUUGGCGGACUAUAUAUCUGCUGAUCAACACUGCGAAUGCUGGAAACACACCAGACACCCCAUGUGAAGUUAUUUAACCCGAUUAUUGUUAUUUAUAUCCGAGAUUAUUUAAUCU
rnacentral:lncRNA from 1 species